GGGGCCUUAGCUCAGCUGGUAGAGCGCCUCGCUGGCAGCGAGGAGGUCAGGGGUUCGACUCCCCUAGGCUCCACCA
rnacentral:tRNA from 2 species